UAAAAAGCAGAGCUGCUUCACAAAAAGAGCAAACUUUUAGAUUUCCUUUUUUUUUUUUUUUUUUUUUUUCAGGUUCACAGAGGACAGGACAGCGCCUGUACAUUGCAGUAAGCUCUGGGUCUGCUACAAGGCUCAGGGCUGUGGAGAAGGAAUUUUGUAUUUGCUGAGCAUCAUAAGGAUCCCCUAGUGGCACCGGUGUGGAGGGUGGCUGGGAUAUGCAGGCAGUUCUGCUCUUUCCUAAGGGCCAAAAAUACUUGUUUAGUAAACUGCCGAUGUGCAAAACUUCACAGGAGAUACAAGUUGCACUUAGUGUAGAUGUGGCUAUUGCUUAUCCCAGCUUCUCAUUUAUGCUGGAGUAAUUUUUGCAUAUAUAUUAAAUAUCAGAGGUGGAAAGCACUGUAGAUGAAUAUAGGUACUAGCUUGUCAUUUGCACUGCUUCCACAUGUACAUUUUAUGCCCUGGGGGGAAAAAAAAUCCAAGAUGAGCCUGUCACAAAUAUCACAGUUUCUUACAUAUUCCUUCCCCUAACUGUACCUGGAAGCUGAUUGUCCAUCAGUGCCCCUAGCAGCCUGUGACAAACCGCGGUUUCAGUAAUUAUUGAAGAUCCAUACUACAUCUGUGAUACUGCUCACCGGAGGAGUUCAGACCUAGAAGGACAGGCAUCACCAUUUUUCCUUUGAAGCUGAGACCAAGUCUGAGUCUCUGGGCUGGCCACUGACUGGCUCAGCUCAGCAGUGGCACCAAACAUACUGUAUUUAUUGAACAUAACGGAGGGGAACAGUGAGAUAGAGGAUGCAAACCGCGGUGAUACGAAGGGAGCUAGACAGCACCGGAUAAGGAAUUGAGUCAGGUAUUGGCCAGCUACCAGGAGGAGCGUAUUUUUAACAAAGAUUGUUUGACGGUCAGAAUCGGGAAAUAAAGGGAAUUUUGCUUUGUUUGCAGUCCCCUGUACUUGGAGUGAUCCACACUUUGCCAACAUUGUUCAGCACAUCUUUAAGGUAUAAAAGUGCCUAUGCAUUUGCCAAGAUUUUAAUCUAAAAGGACUUUUUCUUUUUGCGCUUGAUGACUUUUUUAUUCUUUUAGCUUUUCAAGUAAGCAGGGAUUUCUUUGUUUGGAUUAUGCAAAAUAUGACCAAUGGAGAAGCCUAGUGGCAUUCAAUGACUCUGCAUCACUCCAUUUUCUUACAGGGUCAGCACAACUCUGACACGCUAGAGUGUAGGAAUUGGGUUGCAUUACCUUUGCACAUUGCCUUUCCUUUAUCCAUGAGAACUCACCCCACUGCCCUAAGCCCUUUUGCAUGACCACUAUUUUAUUUACAAAUAGGCAGCAAAGUGCUGCGGUCUCUCUGACAGCCUGCAAUUAAUUGCACACGAUCUCUUUAGGCUGCCAGACGUACCUUUCAUAAACGAUGAUACAUUCUAAAAGGCAGUCCAACUGGCUGCUUUGCAUUGUGCAUAUAUUUUUCAUAUUGCCAAGACAGGACAUAUGCAAAACCAUUUUACUGUGGCAAAACCACAGGAAAGGUAAUGAUUUGGAAGAAAGGCCAGAGACCAAAGGUUCUGGUCCGAAUUCUUCCACUCGUGUGCUGCAGACUGGGGUGCCAGGAGCAGAUGGCCAGUCUGAAUCCCCAGAAGAUGCAGCAGGUUGGCUGACCAGACCAAAAUAUGAAGGUUUAAAAAUUAAGGGGUAUAUGCAGGACCAACGGAAUUAAACCAGGCUGCUUCCAGUUGGACAAACUCGUGUGACCUUAAUCUGUGCUCUUACUUGUGGGAAAAGACUUGUGGGAAAAGUACCCCCCAAAUGAGACCUUUGUAGAGGAGGAACAUCAAAUCAAAAUAGCAUGUGAGCAGAGUGCAGAUCGGGCUUACAUAUUCUGCCUACAUGGCCUUGGCUUUUCUUCUGCUACAGGCAGACUGUCUGAAGUCACCCUCCAGCCUUUCAGCUGAUCAUCUACUUGCUGACAAUAACUAGCAAAAGACUAACAUUGCGCCUAGCUCUGCAGUAGACUCAAAACAGCCCACAGGCACGGUGCAGGGUCAGACUGCUGCGAGGCUGUUUGUUUAUUUUGGUUGACAUUUUCCUUUGUCGAGAAGCUGGUCCUUGUUAUUCAGCAUGUACAGCCCUGCACAUAUCCUAUCUGUUUAACUGUCUUUGGAUAAAAGUGGGUAUUUUCCCAUGUCAAUAAAUGUUCUGGUGGGAAGCUGUGAGCUGGCCUCAGAGAGAACCACCCCCUGCUGCGUAUCUCACUUCUGCAUUGAGUUUUCUUUGUUAAUCAUGUGCAAAAUAAGAAGGCUUUCUGUCUAGCAAAAACCCAUCAUUAAUUUUUCAUAUGAGCACUAAAGUCUUGAGCAGAAUCCUUAAGUGGCUUCAAAGAAAAAGGAAUAAUAAAACCAAGGAGCUACAUUUUCCUUUUCCCUUUCUUCAUUAUUUGAUAUUGUAAGCAAACUUCUUAAUGCAAAAAGUACAGUUCUCUCAGUUGCACAGUGACACAUUCAUUUUGAAGGCUACGUUUGACCUUCAACUUUGUCCUUCAUUAGCAGGACUACACCUAAACACGCCUUCAUUUUACUGCAAAUGAGACAGAUGCAAUGUGUAUUCUGUUCAGCCCCAGCAUUAGGAUUAUCCCAAGAGUGGCAUUUAUGUCCUUGUAGUUCUUUGGUAUAAAUAAAUAUCAAAGUAGGAAGACCAAUCUGUACUCCACUAGGAAUAAUAAACUAAAAUAAUAUGGCACUGAU